GGCAGGGGGGAAGGAGCAGGCGGGGAAGGGGUAAGCCCCACCGGAGGAACCCAACUCGCUCAGAACAGCAAUAGUGGCGGCGGCAGCAGCGGCAGCGGCAAGGAAGAGACUGGAGCCGGCAGAGAGCAGGAAGCAGUCUUAGCCUCGGCAGCCCUGCGUGGCGCUGGCGGCAGCGGCGGCGGCGGCGGCAGCAAACAGCAGCCAGACAAGCAGGGGACUCAUGGCAAAUAACAGUUUGCGUAUCCACAACUCUUUGCCUUUAUACUGGUCAGCAAGUCAAAUUUAUAAUGGCAAAGCCAGGACGACACGCAAGCGUGGACGGCGCAGGCGGGGCGGAGCCGCGAGGACUGAGCCAAGGCCACUCCGGAGCAUGCCGCGUGACAGAA